rnacentral:rRNA from 1 species
CCCCGGGCUCAACUGGGAACUGCAUCAAACUGUCGAGCUAGAGUAUGGUAGAGGGGUGGUGGAAUUUCCUGUGUAGCGGUGAAAUGCGUAGAUAUAGGAAGGAACACCAGUGGCGAAGGCGACCACUGGACUGAUACUGACACUGAGGUGCGAAAGCGUGGGGAGCAAACAGGAUUAGAUACCCUGGUAGUCACGCCGUAAACGAUGUCAACUAGCCGUUGGGAGCCUUGAGCUCUUAGUGGCGCAGCUAACGCAUUAAGUUGACCGCCUGGGGAGUACGGCCGCAAGGUUAAAACUCAAAUGAAUUGACGGGGGCCCGCACAAGCGGUGGAGCAUGUGGUUUAAAAAGAAGCAACGCGAAGAACCUUACCAGGCCUUGACAUCCAAUGAACUUUCCAGAGAUGGAUUGGUGCCUUCGGGAACACUUAGGACCGGGGGUGCAUGGCUGUUGUCAGCUCGUGUCGUGAGAUGUUGGGUUAAGUCCCGUAACGAGCGCAACCCUUGUCACCUUUCCUUAUUCCCGCAAUAAUGGGGGGACUUAAGGAGACUGCCGGUGACAAACCGGAGGAAGGUGGGGGUGACGUCAAGUCAUCAUGGCCCUUACGGCCUGGGCUACACACGUGCUACAAUGGUCGGUACAAAGGGUUGCCAAGCCGCGAGGUGGAGCUAAUCCCAUAAAACCGAUCGUUUCCGGAUCGCAGUCUGCAACUCGACUGCGUGAAGUCGGAAUCGCUAGUAAUCGGAAUCA